rnacentral:lncRNA from 1 species
CUGUCAUCCUUCAAAAUUCCAUUUUAUAACCAAAAAAUUUCAAUCCAUAGUAAAUAACUACAAAAUUUAUAAAAUUAAAAAAUAUAUUAAAAAUGAGCAAUACCAACGGAAAUCCUCCACGCAAAAAUUAUACUGAGAGAGAGAAAUGUUUGCUGUUGGAAAUAAUUGGAAAAUACAAGCAUAUUAUAAUGGAAAACAAAUAAUAAUGUACCAAUGAUAUGUCCACCAACCAAAACAAUGAAACCUGGGAAAAAAUAGCGCUGAAUUUCCCAGAGCUCCCAAGCAGCUGAACACUGCAUAUAUAAACUUAAAAAGGGUCACUCGCCAAAAAGUAGCAGAGGAAAAUGUAAGUGUAUAAAACUUUCGGUUGAUUUAGAGCUAUAUGGAUUAAUUACAUUGCAGAUUCAAAAAUAUAAUGAGCAGAAGGUUUUGGACCAGUUGAA